CCUGUGAUCGUCUAGUGGUUAGGACACCAGGUUUUGAUUCCUGGGGAUGUCCUGGUAACCUGGGUUCGACUCCCAGUCGCAGGU